CCACUUGGAGAUGAGGAGUUUAUCACAUACGUUUUGGAUGGACUUGAUGAGGACUAUGACCCGCUUGUUGCUGUUAUCAACAAUCGCACCACACUGAUUCCAAUACGUGAUCUAUAUGCUCAGUUAUUGAGUAUUGAGC